GGAGGGGAUGCGCGUACUACCGCGGUCCUGGAGGCAGAGCUGUGAUGUCCUCGCGCGCAGGCUCUGGCGGAGGGGGUGGCGCCAGUCCCCUGGUGGCUGCCGGACCCUGGUUGUGGCCACAUCCCCCCAUCCUCCGAGUGUUUGCAUUCCUGCAUGAUGAACUCAGCGGGGAAAACAGAAGGAUGAAGUAAGCUGAGAGAGACUAUAUCAACAAGUGGACGACAUGCUACCCAGUCAUUCAGCAAUGAGAUCAGGGGCACCACGACCUCGUGUGGCAGCAGAGAGGUCACGGUGCAUGGAACUCGAGAAAUGAGGAGGAAACAAGCACUACAACGUGGCUGCGAUCUACACGAGCCGAGUAAGAAGACUGGUGCCGCAGCGGGACAGACGGGACUUCACCGUCAGCUUCCCCAGGCCCCUCCCGGCCUCCUGCCCGUGGUCCAGGUGCUCAGCUCGUUCAAAGAGCCCCGCAGGUGACCGCUUCCCUCCGAACUUCCCGGCUCCGGAGCCCUCCCGUGGGGUCGGCGCCGCGGGACUCUGGGAACCGCGCGGCGCUGGCAGUGCAGCCUGGUGAGCGUUCUCUCGUUUUGUUUACACCACGGAGUUACGUUGUCAUUUUGCACGUGCAACACCAACACUUGUGGAGGGUUGCAAAGAUGCCUCAGGUGAAAAUGAAAAGUUAGUUCUUGUAGAAUUUAAUGCCAAGUGCAUUUGCUCCUGCCGGGCAGCGCAGGCAGAAGAAAAACUCAUUUUCCCUGACCGGGAAUCGAACCCGGGCCGCGGCGGUGAGAGCGCCGAAUCCUAACCACUAGACCACCAGGGACGGUGCUGGGAGAGGCGCCGAACAACCCUACAGGCUAGAUGCACCUGCCUCCGGCCUAAUAUUGAUUUUGACCCCAACAAGUGUGGCAAUAUCCGUUGAACCGAAAAAAAAAAAGAAAAA